rnacentral:lncRNA from 1 species
ACAGCACCCUGGUCCUGCCUUCUCUUCUAGGAUCCAUUCCUAAAACUCAAGUUCAUUGUGGAAAAACCAGGACACAGGCAAGCAAAGGAAAAGAAUAUAGAAGACCUUAUAAAGAGUUGUGUUUCCUGCUUAUUCUUGAUGCGAGCAUCAAUGUGUAUUUCAUGAACAAAGAAUGAAAUGAAUCCAGAUGCUUCCUAGGGGGAAAAGUUCCACUCAAAGACAGCUCCUUUCAGAGAAAAUGAGAAUGGUCCAAGGCUUAGGCUGCAUUUACAGAGCACUGCUCCCUUUGUCCUCAAACCUAUGAGAUCAUCUUUGGCAAUGACUGUAUCAUUGAUGCACUGAUGUCAGCAGAAGAAAGAUUAAUAUUCCAUGCUUUAAUUUAACCUUCAAAUGAGUUGUGUGGUUUCCAGAAGUCUGCAGAAUGCUGCUACAGAAAGAAAGACCAGUUGAUAAGGCAUACCGGACCCUAGCACUCAGGAGUCAGCUUUCCAACAAUGAAAUACAGUUAUCUUCCUCAUUGCAGAGGCAAUGUGAUCCAAAAAAUUGUCCAUUAUGAUGAGUGUUGGGAAAUAAGAUUUAAGAGGUAAAUAAAUAUAUGUACAUGCAUAUUCACAUUCAUAUAUAAAAAAAUCAAUAAACUUUUCCCUGUCA